CGUGCUGAGUUUUAAUGAGAAAAUUAAAACUAAUUAAUCUAGUUCUUAAUCUAUUUCUUUCAAAUACCCACUAUAAACAUAUCAGUGAUCUCAUUUUAUAAUACCUCGGGAGCUAAUGAAACUAUUUUAGUAAAAUUUCAUUGUCUCAAUUCCCGGGGGAUCACACCAAAAAUUCUAGUUCCUUUUGGAUUUCCUUCUUGAUCAAUCACAACUGCAGCAUUGUCAUCAUAUUGUAUUAUCAUACCGCUGUCACGUUUAAGUUCUUUACAGGUACGAACAAUUACAGUUUUUUUGCUUUUUUCACUCUUCUCAAUAUUU
rnacentral:lncRNA from 1 species